UACGAAGGGGGCAAGCGUUGUUCGGAAUUACUGGGCGUAAAGCGCGUGUAGGCGGUUAUGCAAGUCGGGUGUGAAAGCCCGGAGCUCAACUCCGGAAGUCGCAUUCGAUACUGCGUAGCUAGAGUACUGGAGAGGAUGGUGGAACUCUCGGUGUAGAGGUGAAAUGCGUAGAUAUCGGAAGGAACAUCAGUGGCGAAAGACGA
rnacentral:rRNA from 1 species